rnacentral:tRNA from 1 species
GGGACCAUAGCUCAGUGGUUAGAGCAGUCGGCUCAUAACCGAUUGGUCGGAGGUUCAAAUCCUCCUGGUCCCA